rnacentral:tmRNA from 1 species
GGGGGCGUACCGGCUUCGACGUGAGCGGUCAGCGUCUCGUGAGACGAGCCGAGUUUGCUGGAGACUCGUUAAACGCCGGCAGCUAAACAUACACGCCAACGAUGACGUGGAACUGGCUUACGCUGCUUAGAUAGCGUAGCCCAUCGGCCCGGGUAGUCCACGACCCGGGUACCGGUGUCAUCUUAGUGGGCUCACCCUUUGGGUCCUGGCCCGGGGCUUAAAGGGGACAUUCGAACGGGCUAGCCCUCCUGCGGCGCCCCGGUCCGCAGGGUAGGGCGAAACUAAACCGGGUGCGACGCUCGUAGAAUCUCACGGACGGCGCGUUCGCGGACGCGGGUUCGAAUCCCGCCGCCUCCACUA